AGCGGAGGGGCUAAGAAAGGGCGGGUUUCCCCUCAAGAGAAGGGCGGGUUUUCCCUCAGGCGGCGGCUGGCGGCCGUCCGCUGCCUUCCCCUCCCGCGUCGUUCAGUCAGGGCGGCUCCGCGGCCGGCCCGCCCAGAGACCCUGCCCUGGCAGCGGGCCCGUCGGGAGCAGGAAGAGGAAGAAGAGGAGGAGGAGGAAGAGGAGGAAGAGCCGUCGGCCCUCUCCGCCCGCCCUCCCGCGGACGCCGGCGCCGGCGAAGGGAGGGGGAAGCUCUGAGGCGGCGCCGCUCCCGCUCAGGCUCGCGAGGACGGCCCCUCGCCCGCCUCCCGCCCAGAGCGGGGCUGUAGCAGGGACACCCCCCCCCCCCCCCUCCUCGCCGCGCCUCGGGGCCAUGUCUGAGGAAGGAGCCGCCAAACUGCGCCUCAAGCCCAGAAAGGCGCCGCCAGCCUGCAAUCGGGAGCCCAGCCCUGGCCGGGAGUCCCCCCGGCGGCGUCAGACAGUGACUCACAGAUGUUCCUGGUUUGAAAAAGAAGACUUAAAUGAGUGUGAAAAACCAUGGAUUUUGUUACUGAACACCAUCAGUCAAGAUUUACAAUGCACAAACUGGCAAACAGUGCCCAGUUUUCCAGAGUUCUUCGGAAAGUAUGGCAAAUUCUUUACAAGAUUUUGCUGGAAAGAGGUAACCUGUGUAAGUAUACUGACUGCUCAUAAGCACUAGCAUCUCCCUAAGUGAAUGAAACUGGAAAAGGCAAAUGUUAACCGAGAGAUUAAUUACACAGGAACAACCAUUACAUUGCUCUGACAGUAUCAGGCAAUAACACAAAAACCACAGUCCUUCUAAAGUAGAAUUUUUUUUCCUGAACAGCAGCAGGUUGUUGUUUUCAUCCUUGGUCUCUGUGGAACAUAUUAAAGAAGUACCCUGUUGUAUCAGUUUAGAAAUGUUAAGGGAAGACACAUAUUGCAUAAACUCCAGGAAGUUCUUGAUUGCUUUACAAGCGCUAGAGAUGGAUGUAAAUAAAAUGUUCUUUUCUUCAAUGUAGUUUAGCCUUCUCAGUAUUUGUAAUAUGUUCAGCCUUGGUUUUAUGUAUUGAUUGAACUGCACUUGUUUGAAGUCACUGUGUGUGUGUGUCAUAGGGUUCUGAGGAAGAGAGUCUACAAAAACAAGAAGUCUUUACAAUUGGAAUGAAAGACUUUCAGUGGGUAUCAUUCCCAUCUUUUUGCAAAGAAAAACAUCUAAAACCAAAGGAUCUUGGCUCCCAUCAGCUAACACAGAGCCAGAUCGACCACUUACAUAAAGGACAGGGCGAAGCAGAUAAACUGAGUUUACCUUCUGCAGCUGAGAAAACAUGCUGUGUAACUAUUACAGAUCAAGCCAAAAAUAUGGUUGGGGAGGACACAAAAGGUAUUUCAAAACUGGAUGCAAGUCCUAAAUCAUGUAAACUCACUCAACACGGAAGUUCUACACACCACUUGACGUUGUCACAAAGCUCUCCAAAAGCUUUUAGCUUUCAACAGCACUGCGGAGGAACUGUACAGAACAGCAGGGAAAACAGAAAAGAAAAUAAUAGGAAAGAGCUUCAAAUACAAACACAUCAAGGGAAUAUUUCAUUUGGUGAGGCCAGAUACAUGUCUGCAGAAAAGAAGCUGCCUCUUGUGAGUAUACCUGGAACUGAAAGCUGCAAGGAGAAGAUGGAAAACCAGAGUGAAGGAUCUUCAACUCUUGACAGUUGUCCAAUGUGUCUGAUGAAUUUUAGUGGAACACUGUCACAAUUGGAUAUUGAUGGCCAUCUGGCCAGGUGCUUGUCUGAAAGUGCAGAUGAUGUAAUGUGGUAAAGCCUGAAGAAUGAAGAGCAAAGGAACAAGGCCAAGGAUGAACCUUUCUCAAUGGAAAAGGAAAAAUGUGUCAAGGAAGCAUAUCCUUGUCUCAGACUUGCUUAAGGAUCACAAACCAGUAACUCAAUAGAAGGUCAAGUGCUACCUGCCUGUUUGGGGUCUUUUUAUUUUAAGUCCUCUCAAAUGCAUGUAAAGUAGUUCUAGUUCUGAAAAUGGUGCUAUAGGAUAUCCCAGAGACCCCUGGGGAAAUCCAUCUUGGUACUUCUGGAAUCUGGGUACUUCUGAAAAAAAAUGUACUAUUGUAAAUCCCUGAAGAACCUGUUUUGUCUGAUGCACCACAGUCCUGAAUUUCUAAGUGUAGAAGAAAGCAGCUGAACAAAAGGUAACUGUUACUUAAUCUAAUGCAAAAGUUUACUGACCUCUUUUUUUCCUAAACAGGUAAUCUGUGAAAAUAAGCUUAAUUAAAAAGUCAUUCAAGCUUA